rnacentral:rRNA from 1 species
CCUACGGGUGGCAGCAGUGAGGAAUAUUGGUCAAUGGGCGCGAGCCUGAACCUGCCAAGUCGCGUGAGGGAAGACGGUUCUAUGGAUUGUAAACCUCUUUUGUCGGGGAGCAAAUGAAGCCACGCGUGGCGUUCCGAGAGUACCCGACGAAAAAGCAUCGGCUAACUCCGUUCCAGCAGCCGCUGUAAUACGGAGGAUGCGACCGUUAUCCGGAUUUAUUGGUGUUAUGGUGUGCGCAGGCGGAAGAUCAAGUCAGCGGUAAAAUUGAGAGGCACAACCUCUUCGAGCCGUUGAAACUGGUUUACUUGAGUGAGCGAGAAGUAUGCGGAAUGCGUGGUGUAGCAGUGAAAUGCUUAGAUAUCACGCAGAACUCCGAUUGCGAAGGCAGCAUACCGGCGCUCAACUGACGCUCAUGCACGAAAGUGUGGGUAUCGAACAGGAUUAGAUACCCUAGUAGUC